rnacentral:rRNA from 1 species
UACAGAGGUGGCAAGCGUUGUUCGGAAUUACUGGGCGUAAAGGGCGCGUAGGCGGCCAUCUAAGUCAGACGUGAAAUCCCCCGGCUUAACCUGGGAACUGCGUCUGAUACUGGAGGGCUCGAGUGCGGGAGAGGGAGGUGGAAUUCCAGGGGUAGCGGUGAAAUGCGUAGAUAUCUGGAGGAACACCGGUGGCGAAGGCGGCAUCCUGGACCGACACUGACGCUGAGGCGCGAAAGCUAGGGUAGCAAACGGG